UCGGUCCUGCGCUUGUGCA
rnacentral:misc_RNA from 1 species